UACGAAGGGGACUAGCGUUGCUCGGAAUUACUGGGCGUAAAGCGCACGUAGGCGGAAUUGUCAGUCGGAGGUGAAAUCCCGGGGCUCAACCUCGGAACUGCCUUUGAUACAGCAAUUCUCGAGUCCGAUAGAGGUGAGCGGAAUUCCUAGUGUAGAGGUGUAAUUCGUAGAUAUUAGGAAGAACACCGGUGGCGAAGGCGGCUCACUGGAUCGGUGCUGACGCUGAGGUGCGAAAGCGUGGGGAGCAAACAGG
rnacentral:rRNA from 1 species